rnacentral:rRNA from 1 species
GACCUGCAGUGGGUACGGGCACACUAGAGUGCGGUAGGGGAGAUUGGAAUUCCUGGUGUAGCGGUGGAAUGCGCAGAUAUCAGGAGGAACACCAAUGGCGAAGGCAGAUCUCUGGGCCGUAACUGACGCUGAGGAGCGAAAGCGUGGGGAGCGAACAGGAUUAGAUACCCUGGUAGUCCACGCCGUAAACGGUGGGAACUAUAUGUGGGGUCCGUUCCACGGAUUCCGUGUCGCAGCUAACGCAUUAAGUUCCCCGCCUGGGGAGUACGGCCGCAAGGCUAAAACUCAAAGGCAUUGACGGGGGCCCGCACAAGCGGCGGAGCAUGCGGAUUAAUUCGAUGCAACGCGAAGAACCUUACCAAGGCUUGACAUAUAGAGGAAAGGUGCAGAAAU